AUUGAACGCUGGCGGCCGGCCUAACACAUGCAAGUCGUACGAGUGGCGGACGGGUGAGUAAUGUCUGGGAAACUGCCUGAUGGAGGGGGAUAACUACUGGAAACGGUAGCUAAUACCGCAUACCAUCAGAUUUGCCCAGAUGGGAUUUGCUUGUUGGUGGGGUAACGGCUCACCCAGGCGACGAUCCCUAGCUGUUCUGAGAGGAUGCACAGCCACACUGGAAAUGAGACACGGUCCAGACGCCUACGGGAGGCAGCAUUGGGGAAUAUUGCACAAUGGGCGCAAGCCUGAUGCAGCCAUGCCGCGUGUAUGAAGAAGGCCUUCGGGUUGUAAAGUACUUUCAGCGGGGAGGCGUUACCCGCAGAAGAAGCACCGGCUAACGCCGUGCCAGCAGCCGCGGUAAUAA
rnacentral:rRNA from 1 species